rnacentral:sRNA from 1 species
GCCAGGUGUGGUGGCACAUACCUGUAAUCCCAGUGACUUGGGAGGCUGAGGCAGGAGGAUCAUGAGUUCAAAGCCAGCCUCAGCAAUAGUGAGGCACUAAGAAACUCCGUGAGACCCAGUCUCUA